UACAGGGGGGGCAAGCGUUGUUCGGAAUUACUGGGCGUAAAGGGUCUGUAGGUGGCCCAACUAAGUCAGACGUGAAAUCCCUCAGCUUAACUGGGGAACUGCGUCUGAUACUGGAUGGCUUAGUGUGGGAGAGGUGAGUGGAAUUUCCGGUGUAGCGGUGAAAUGCGUAGAUAUCGGAAGGAACACCUGUGGCGAAAGCG
rnacentral:rRNA from 1 species